rnacentral:rRNA from 1 species
GACGAACGCUGGCAGCGUGCUUAACACAUGCAAGUCGAACGAUGAGUCCUUAUCUUGCUUUGGUGAACUUGUCGCGCACGUGUGUGUAACACGUGAGCAACGUGCCCAGGACUCUGGUAUAACCACGGGAAACCUGGGCUUAUACCGGAUAGGUGUCAAGCCGCCUUGCUCUUCGAUGGAAAGAGUUUUGUGGUUCUGGAUUGGCUCACGGUCUGUCAGUUUGUUGGGGGGGGAAUGGCCUACCACGGCGUCGGCAGGCGGCCGGCCUGGGAGGGUGACCAGCCACACUGGGACUGAGAGACGGCGCCGACUCCUACGGGAGGCAGAAGUGGGGAAUAUUGUAGAAUGGGCGCAAGACUGAUGCAGAAAAGCUGCGUGGGGGAUGAGGGCCUUCGGGUUGUAAAACUCUUUUAGAGGGGAAGAAGCGGAAGUGACGGUACCUGCAGAAAAAGCAACGGCUAACUACGUG